rnacentral:rRNA from 1 species
UACGUAGGGUGCGAGCGUUGUCCGGAAUUACUGGGUGUAAAGGGUGCGUAGGCGGGCAUGUGCGUCGGAGGUUAAAUACAACGGCUUAACCGUUGAACUGCCUUCGAAACGGCAUGUCUUGAAUGUGGGAGAGGAUGGUGGAAUUCCUGGUGUAGCGGUGAAAUGCGUAGAUAUCGGGAGGAACACCAGUAGCGAAGGCGGCCAUCUGGAUGAUAACUGACGCUGAGGUGCGAGAGCGUGGGGAGCAAACAGG